CGGAGGUGCGAGCGUUGUCCGGAAUCACUGGGCGUAAAGGGCGCGUAGGUGGUCGGGUGCGCCGGUGGUGAAAGCGCAGGGCUCAACCCUGCGUCGGCCAUCGGGACGGUCCGACUGGAGCACUGUAGAGGCAGGUGGAAUUCCGGGUGUAGCGGUGGAAUGCGUAGAGAUCCGGAAGAACACCGGUGGCGAAGGCGGCCUGCUGGGCAGUUGCUGACACUGAGGCGCGACAGCGUGGGGGAGCAAACAGGAUU
rnacentral:rRNA from 1 species